AGCCGGAGGGCCGUGAGCCUCGUCAAGUCCGGGGGUGACCUCAAGGCCCCGGGGGAGUCCCUGCGGCUCCUCUGCCGCGGCUCCGGCUUCACCUUCAGCAACUACGGAAUGGACUGGAUGCGCCAGAGCCCCGGGAAGGGGCUGGAGUGGGUCGGUGGGUUCAACGGCAAUGGUGGAGGCACCUUCUACGCGCCGUCGGUGCGGGACCGGUUCACCAUCGCCAGGGACAACGACCAGGCCACGAUGACGCUGCAGAUGAACAACCUCAGGGAGGAGGAUUCCGCCACCUAUUUCUGCGCCAAAGGUGCUGGUGCUGGUGGUUUGGGUCAUGGUAUCGACCCCUUUGGCGGGGUCCGCAAACCCCAGACCCUCCCCCCAAACCUCCACCCUUCACACCCUCUUGGUCGUUGGUCCCGACCUUGGGCUGGUUUUGCCCCAAUUUUCAACCUUUGA